rnacentral:rRNA from 1 species
AUUGAACGCUGGCGGCAUGCUUUACACAUGCAAGUCGGACGGUAACAGGUUAAGCUGAUGAGUGGCGAACGGGUGAGUAAUGCAUCGGAACGUGCCCGGUCGUGGGGGAUAACGCAGCGAAAGCUGCGCUAAUACCGCAUACGAUCUGAGGAUGAAAGCGGGGGACCGUAAGGCCUCGCGCGAUCGGAGCGGCCGAUGUCAGAUUAGGUAGUUGGUGGGGUAAAGGCUCACCAAGCCAACGAUCUGUAGCUGGUCUGGGAGGACGACCAGCCACACUGGGACUGAGACACGGCCCAGACUCCUACGGGAGGCAGCAGUGGGGAAUUUUGGACAAUGGGCGAAAGCCUGAUCCAGCAAUGCCGCGUGCAGGAAGAAGGCCUUCGGGUUGUAAACUGCUUUUGUACGGAGCGAAAAGGUCUCCUCUAAUACAGGGGGCUCAUGACGGUACCGUAAGAAUAAGCACCGGCUAACUACGUGCCAGCAGCCGCCGCCG